UGAUAUUUUCCGAGGGGGUUAAGAUGAUUCCUCCUCCUCCUGCCCGUGCCCGCCCGGCUUUUCCUUCCGCUUUCUCGGGCGGGCACAGAGCGUCAAAAUGGCGGCGCGGGGAGCUGGUUUGUCAGGUGAUGGAAACCACAGGCAGCGAUUAAGGUGGAUCUGCAGUGAACACUCAAAAUAACUUCCCUCUUCCGCCUCAGAAAACAAAAAGGCCAACAAUUAUGCACAAAACUGUUUAAGCAAACGUGCAGCAAGGCGUCAAGUCCCUGUCUCACAGUCGAUACCUUUCCAGUGAUGGUGAUGAAUUUUGAAUGGGAGACAGAGAGGAUGGUGCCACUGGCUUGUGGAAACAUUAUCGAUUCAGCAAUGAAAUGUGACAACACUGCUUUGAAGUGAUGACAAUAGUGUUUGCCUAAGUACAUAAUGUGGACCGAGUAGAAAGCAACUUCACCAAUCAAACCUACACCAUGAAUCCAUUAUUAAGGCAAAAUAUUGCAGGUGCUUGAAAUCUAAGAUAAUAGUGUUGGAGAAACUCAGCAUAUCUGGCAGCAUCUGUAGAGAGAGAGAGAAUUUACAUUUCAAGUCCACAACAACUCUAGAAUCCACGUGUUGCCAGUUUCUUCAGCACUUUGUUUCUAAUCCAUAAUUUACUUUCCCUAUUUCCUCCAAAAGGUAAUUCAAUCUGAUUUAUGUUUUUACAAUUGUUAAUACUUUUACAUGGCUCUGAUGGUAACAAUCUUGUGAGCCAGAAGAUUGAGAGUUUAAGGCCAUGAGGACUUGAGCAAAAAAGUAAAAAAACUAGCACUUCAGUCCAGUUUUGUUUGAGUGCUGCAAAGUUGGAGGUUUCACCCAAAGGCUGUGCUGUCCUCCCAGGUGAACUUACAAUAUACCAUGGCAAUGUUUUGAAGAUGAGCCAGGAGAUCAAUCCCUGAUAUAAAAACACAAUGUGUUUGUUGACAGCACCUGUGGAGGGAGAAAGUUAAUAUCUAAAGCUGAAUAUGACAUCCAAUCAACACCCCAGAGUAGACUAGCUGCUCAUUUUACUGCUGUUUUGGGGAUCUUGCUCUGCAGAAAUUGCAUAGACAUUUUGUAAAUCGUGACAGUGAAUGCCAGUCAAAAUGCUUUGUUGCUUGUAAACUGCUUUGCGACACCCCAUGGUUGUGAAAUACAUUAUAUAAAUGCAAGUCUUUUUUUUCACAAUUUUAUAAAAAUACUUCUGCAAAUUUUGGUAGACCACAUCUAUUAGGAUACUCUGGUUCUAACUUGUCUUGUUUAGAAUUUAUUCAGAGUUACAAAGACUUUUAAAAGUGCACAUGGAAUCAUAAAUAUGAUUAUAGCGCAAAAGAAGGCCAUUUGGCCUUAAUGGCUAUACUGGGCCUCAGAAGGAACAAUUCCCCUCGUGCAACUACCCAUAUCCUGAAAAUGUUUACAAUAUUUUUCCGUACUAAUGAUCUGCACCUUUGAACAGAUUAAUGCUGUUUAUUAUGAGUUCUAUGAUGUGGAGCGUAAUAUGCUGAAUAUAUUUCCAAACACAUUUUAAAUGACUGAUAGCAACAACAGAUUUAUAAUAUCUGGUCAACAAUAUCAGGUGACAAUAUUUAGCUAGUAAAGUAUUAUCAGCAAUCAAGUACUUAUGUCAUCUUGUGUUAUAUAUACCAAUAGGUUUUAAAAAUAGGUGACAGCCCAAGAUUAUGGAUCCAUUCCACCUUAAUAAAAGUGGGUGUCUCUUGAAUUUUUAGGCCUCACAUUCCUGAAAAAGUUUCAUAAUCUCACACAAACCAGGACAUGCUGUUUUACCACAGACAGGAUGGUGAUAACUAUUAUCUGGUAUACCACACAAUGUUCCCAUCCAUCAUAUUCUGUGAUUCACACCCCAUUACACUUCUGUACAACAGAGAUAUUCUACUUGAAAUUGGAAGUGUAUCAUUAAUAAAAACCAUGUCAAACUGUUUAAAGAGUUUAUUUUAGCUACCCUUCCAAUUAAAUUAUUGUUUAAAAAAUUAGAAGCAAAUUGUAAACAAAUCUGGGCAGAUUUUCUUUGCUUUUCUAUUGAAAUUAUAAACAUUUUCAAAAGAAAGUUCUGAUCACAGUAAAUGUGCUACAUUUAUUUAUGAAGUUGCAACAUCUCCAUAACGUUAAGCAAAAAUUUUUAAAAACAAUUUUCAUAUCCUUUUGACUUCUCUUUCCUGUGUCAACAUAUGUCAGGAGCCCCUCAAUCAAAGGAAUCACAUUCUUGUUCUCUUUCAAUACUGUUGUAAAACAUGCAUUUGUUUAAAACAAAAAUGAACUUUUCGUUAGAUUUUCCUAUGAUAUUUUCCUCAAACAAGUGGGACUAAUACUAGAAACUCAACUAAUGUCCACAUUGUGUCACAUCAUGAAGGAAGGAAGAAAAAGAUUGUAUUUGUAUAUCAUAGUACAUCCCAAACUACUUUACAGCCAAUAAAAUAUUUCUGAAAGUGUAGCCACUAUUGUAACAAAUGUGCACUUACUACAUUUCCACAAGCAAUAAAAAGAUAAUUUGUUUUUGGUGA